GAAAAUAUAAAUGCCACAGGCAUCACAACAUUCAGAAAAAUAACUGUGUGAAUUAGCAAUUGCAUGGUGCAUGUCUUUAAUGCUUUUGCUUGCUAUUUUUACUUUGUGUUUUCUUUGCCUCCUCAUGAUUUUCAGAAUUGUUUUCUAGAUGGAAGAAAAAGAUGACUCAGACAUUUCUGUAAUGUGCUUGAUCAAAUUUGUAUGUAAUUGUUAGUACUGACAUUGGCUUGGGAAGCUCAAGCCUUCUCAACAAACAAUGAACUCAUCCCAUGGAUGAGUUCAUUGUUUGUUGACACUGCUACAGGUUUAUUAUGUUCCACAAACAGGAGUUCUGGUAAAUGCAAUACCAGCCAAGAAGAAAAAAAGAUGUGUAUAGAGUUGUAUGUGCUGCAGUUCCAAAUACAUUGCUGGGAGGAGACAGUUUUCAUUGCACCCAGGCAGCAGGGGAACCGAGCCCUUUGCCCACACUGUGCAGAUUGGGUGAUUGGAAGAAUUCUGCAGAUACUCUCCAUUGGCUAGGUAUACACCAGCCCCUUUUCCUCUUCACUUCGUACUGACUUCAGUGUCCACCACUAUGUGGG
rnacentral:lncRNA from 1 species